CCUCGCCUGGCCGAGUGGUUAAGGCGUUGGACUCGAAAUCCAAUGGGCUCUGCCCGCACAGGUUCGAAUCCUGUCCGUGACGAGGU
rnacentral:tRNA from 1 species